GCAGCUAGUGUUUAGCAGCUAGCGUUAGCGACAUAGCUACCAUUUGAAGAUGUGUGUGUUUUUCUCUGUUAGCCGUGUGCUGUGUCUACUGGCGCUGACCAUGGCCAUCCUCUCCUCUACAUUGGAAGUGCGUUCCCAGGGAAUGAGGCCUCUAAAUUGCUGUUUGAAGACAUCCAAAAAACGUCCAGCAGAACCAAUCACACUGUGUCUUAUUCAGAUGCCUCGUGGGAAAUGUAACCUCAAAGCAUACAUUUUCGCCAGUGGGGAGCAGUGGAAGUGCAUCAACCCCAAAGCCAGAUGGCUCUCUGCUGAGCUAGCAUCACUGGAACAGGUCAGUCAACCCCUUACACACUGCAUACUACACCAUGAACCCAAAUCCCUACAACCUUCAGAACAAACUAGCUCAAUCCUAAAUCCCC
ensembl:lncRNA